UGCAAGGCAAAGUUUGAGCACUUUCCUGAAUACUUUCCUGUCAAUUCCUCUGCAUUCAUUAGAAAGAGCAAAAAUGAUUCUGUGGCCAAAAUUGGUCUUCUUACUAGCAGUCCUCCAAGGUGUCCAGUCACAGGUCCAGUUGGUCGAGUCUGGAGGGGAUGUGAGAAGCCCUGGAGGGUCCCUCCGUCUCUCCUGCCAAGCCUCUGGAUUCACUUUCAGCAGCUACUACAUGGGCUGGGUGAGACAGGCUCCAGGGAAAGGCCUGGAGUGGGUGACCUACAUAACGACUGGUUCCAGUACUUACUACUCAGACAAAGUGAAGGGACGGUUCACCAUCUCCAGGGACAAUGCCAAAAGCCAGCUGUAUCUGCAAAUGAACAGCCUCAAAGCUGAAGACACGGCUGUCUAUUAUUGUGCAAGAGAGUCACAGUGA